GAUGAACGCUGGCGGUAUGCUUAACACAUGCAAGUCGAACGGACGCUGCGGAGUUAGUGGCGGACGGGUGGGUAACGCGGGAGAAACUGGCUUGGGGUUCGGGACGACCACGGGAAACGGUGGCGAAUACCGGAUGUGCUGAGAGGUAAAAGAGAAAUUGCCUGAAGAUGAGCUCGCGUCUGAUUAGCUAGUUGGUGAGGUCAAGGCGCACCAAGGCAGCGAUGAGUAGCUGGUCUGAGAGGAUGACCAGCCACAAUGGGACUGAGACACGGCCCAGACUCCUACUGGACGCAGCAGUGGGGCAUUUUCCGCACUGGGCGAAAGCCUGACGGAGCAAUACCGCGUGAGGGAAGCAGGCUCUUGGGUUGUAAACCUCUUUUCUUAGGGAAGAACAAAAUGACGGUACCUACGGAAUCAGCACCGGCUAACUCCGUG
rnacentral:rRNA from 1 species